AAACGAGCAUCCUCAGAGGCAAAGGUCCAUCCCAGCCUGGCUUCAGAGGAGGGAGCAGGAGCCGGAGCUGCUCUCAGCAGACCUCGCGGCAGAAGGGCUCUGCAGUAACUUUAUGUGGAGUCGAACUUGACUUCACUUGUCAGCCGGCUCUUUGUGACUCACCGAAGGUGCUGAACAGACUAACGAGUGGGAGGAGGAAACAGGGGGAGAGGAAGAAAGGGAGACAGGCAGCCGAAUGAAAGCAGGAACACUGAUUUAUGAACAAAAAAAAAGAAAAGAAAAAGAAAAAAAAAAAAAAGAGGCUGUUUUUCAGAAAGUUACACUAGUCCUUUUCCUGCUCUAAUAUGAGUGGCAUACAAUCCAAGAUCUCCCAGGUUUGAGGAAAGAAAAAAAAAAAAAAAAAGUGAAUCAGAACUUUUAGCUAAAAUGAGAUAAUAACACUUUUAACCUGAUCGUUAUGAUGGAACUCCAGGGGUUUGAUUUAUUCAGCUGUCACUUACCGCACAUCCCAAGUGUAACAGGAGACAUGUUGGAAGUGCAACCUUUAUUUAGGGUUUGUUGGCAUGAUUUCAUUUUAUACUGGCCUUCUGGGAGUUAUUUUUCAUCUUUAGGCAGUUACCACUGCUAACAGGAAAAGGGAAAGCCUUUUUUUGUUAGCUCCUAGUGCAGCGUGGUUAUUAAGGAAGGUGGAAUUCGAGCCUGCUGGGGUGCGAAUCAGAGCGUCGUGGGAGAUGACUCCCAGCCCGCGAUGGGAAGGGGAUGCUGCCGCCGUGCCUUUUCGUUACAGCACCAGAAUUGUUGGAAGAAGUGACUACUUUGGACUCCCCUUGUUUGAAGAUGCUGCAAAAGAGCAGGGACUUUCUGCAGAUGGAGUGGAAGGAAAGCUGCUUAGCACUCAUUACAGUUGGGACCAAAACAAGGAUAUGUCAUCUAUAUUUUAUCCAUAGUGCCUGCAAGUUUUCUUUAAAAAGCCCAGAAACCUGUAAUUCUGAUUUUACCCAUGGAUGGUUGUUGCAAAAAGAAGUUCACUUUUCCCCAGUCAUUCUUCACCACUAAUUCUCCCAAGGUCAGUUCAAUCAUCCCCACAAAUGCAACACGCUGCCAGGCAGAAAGAAUCAGGGUUGAUUAUUUUUUGCAUAUAGUGUAAUUAAGUAUCCUGUGUUUUGAGAUGCAACUUAUCACCAAAUUGUGUGAAGAAGUAAAAGCUAAUUUGCAAAUAACUUGACCAAAAUCUAAACAGUACUGAUGCUGGAUUUAGUAAACUCAGUGAUGCUGAAUUCAGUGGAAGUCUACCAUCCUGUGCGGACUUUCACUGGGAGUCUUCUGGUCUUCCCUGUCUUACUGUUAUGGUAUUCAAUGCUGUGAUGUCUGAACCCAUAAGGAUAGCUUUGAAAAAAAUCUGUCAGCUUGAGAUGAGAUACUCAGUGGGAUUUUCAAAAGAGCUUAUGUAUUUUUUUUUUACCUUGGCGUUUAUAAAACUGCCACAUUGAUGAGAAUGAUUCCCCAAGUUUUGCUAUACCAUAUGGUCCAUGUGCUGUUAGGAGGCCAUCUACUGUGUUUCCUUGUUAGUCAUUCAACUACAUAUUGCGUCCAUCUGCAGCUCUCAUAUGUAGCUUCACUGUAAUUGCCCUUUUCAGAGCAGUGUAUUUCAUUCUGCUUUGUGCCGGCUUGUGAUAAUGUUCUUUCCAAGACAUGCUUCACCAUAUACUCCUUAAAAGGUGCAGCAGUGCCAUGCUGAAUGGUGCAGUAGACGCGUACAGAAGGCUCAGUUAUGAUGUAAAGGAAGAGGAGGACUGGUGUUUAGCUUGGGGAUGAAGAGAGCACAUUC
rnacentral:lncRNA from 1 species